AAGCUCGUAGUUGAAUUUCGGGGUUCUACCGUCGGUCGGGCUACCAAGUCUGUACUGGUGUGUAGAACUUCUACCUUCUGGGGAACCAUCAUGUUAUUAAUUUAGCGUGGUGGGAAACCAGGACCUUUACCUUGAAAAAAUUAGAGUGUUCAAAGCAGGCUUAUGUCUGAAUACAUUAGCAUGGAAUAAUAGAAUAGGACGGUGGUCCUGUUUUGUUGGUUUCUGAAUCACCGUAAUGAUUAAUAGGGAUAGUUGGG
rnacentral:rRNA from 1 species